AACGAACGCUGGCGGCGUGCUUAACACAUGCAAGUCGAACGGUAAGGCCCUUCGGGGUACACGAGUGGCGAACGGGCGAGUAACACGUGGGUGAUCUGCCCUGCACUUCGGGAUAAGCCUGGGAAACUGGGUCUAAUACCGGAUAGGACCACUGCCUGCAUGGGUGGUGGUGGAAAGCUUUUGCGGUGUGGGAUGGGCCCGCGGCCUAUCAGCUUGUUGGUGGGGUGAUGGCCUACCAAGGCGACGACGGGUAGCCGGCCUGAGAGGGUGACCGGCCACACUGGGACUGAGAUACGGCCCAGACUCCUACGGGAGGCAGCAGUGGGGAAUAUUGCACAAUGGGCGCAAGCCUGAUGCAGCGACGCCGCGUGAGGGAUGACGGCCUUCGGGUUGUAAACCUCUUUCAGCACCGACGAAGCGCAAGUGACGGUAGGUGCAGAAGAAGGACCGGCCAACUACGUGCCAGCCGCCGCCGUAAGAC
rnacentral:rRNA from 1 species